GUUUGACCUCGGAUCAGGUAGGGAUACCCGCUGAACUUAAGCAA
rnacentral:rRNA from 1 species